rnacentral:tRNA from 1 species
UGGCUCAAUGGUAGAGCAUUUGCCUAGCAAGCACUAAGUCCUAGGUUCAAUUCCCAG